UACGGAGGGUGCAAGCGUUAUCCGGAUUCACUGGGUUUAAAGGGUGCGUAGGCGGGUUGAUAAGUCCGUGGUGAAAUCUCCGAGCUUAACUCGGAAACUGCCGUGGAUACUAUUAGUCUUGAAUAUCGUGGAGGUAAGCGGAAUAUGUCAUGUAGCGGUGAAAUGCUUAGAGAUGACAUGGAACACCAAUUGCGUAGGCAGCUUACUACACGAUCAUUGACGCUGAGGCACGAAAGCGUGGGGAGCAAACAGG
rnacentral:rRNA from 1 species